AAUAUAUACAUACCUACAUGAAAAAGUUUUCAACUGAAUUGCAUUAAAAAUUGAUUCGCAGCGCAAAAAAAAUGAACAGCAAAUCGAAUUAUUUAAAGAAGCUGAGUUAGUCAAAGUUGAAUCCUACAGUAAACCAUAACGAAUUAUGCCGAUAAAAAUAUAUAAAAACAUACAAAGUGCAAUAAGUGUUUAAGCAACCUAAACUUUAUCGAAUGAAUUUACAAUCUAGAAUGUGAUAAUGGUUGUGAUUUUCAUUACAGCGCAUAUUAAAAAAGUGUUGAAGCUGCAGCCGAAAGAUUUGUGGAUUUUAACUAAAUUAUAAGUGUGUUAAAUGUUGGCGUAUGUGAAUACCCUUAUUGUUUAUGCGGUUGGCUGUGGUGAACGAAGUGCAACAGCAGAAACAUAUAUAUAAUUAUAUAUAUAUAUAUAUAGAUAUGUAUAUGAAGAAAUUAAAUUAAAUAUAUGCAUAUAAAAUUUUUACACAUAUCAUUACAAGCAUAUUUGCUCUAGUGUGCGCGUGUGUGUGUAUUGGUGAUAAAUGAAUGAAGCAAUAAAUUUAAAAGUUCAAUUGAUUUCACAUUCAGCAACUGAAGCUGCUGUCACCAUUUAGCCACGCUGUCAAGCUGUCAACAUUGUCAAGUAUCAAGUGACCACACACAUACAUAUGAAAGCGAUGUAUUUAUUUGAGUGUUUGUGUACAAAAGUUCGUGAAAUGUCAAAGUGCCAUUGACAGAGUUCAAUUAUUAAGUGAAUUAAUGAUGAAAUAAGCAGUAAGUGAAGAAAAAAAUUAAAAUGUUAUAUUGUAAA